UCGUGCUAGAUGGGGAGCUAGCGGUGCCCUGUAACCCGAAAUCCGCUCAUGCGGGAUUGAAAAUCCUUUAGGAGAUCCUUGAUUCGAGUUGAGCCUUUGCUGUCUCUGGAGAGGAGUUGGGCCUCACGUGACAGACGCUUAUGAACCCCGUCAGGUCCGGGAGGAAGCAGCGGUAAGUAAGAGAGCCUGUGUCGUGAUGGAAUCUAUCUCAUUUCUCCAUAUGGCGAGGCCUUCCCAGUCACGGUUCGAAUAAGGAUGCACGA
rnacentral:SRP_RNA from 1 species